rfam:Pan troglodytes isolate Yerkes chimp pedigree #C0471 (Clint) chromosome 12, whole genome shotgun sequence.
GCUGGGUGUGGUGGCUCGUGCCUGUAGUCUCAGCUACUUGGGAGGCUGAGGCAGGAGGAUUGCUUGAACCCAGGAGUCUGAGACUGCAAUGAGGUAUGAUUAUGCCACUGCACUCCAGCCUGGGUGAUAGUGCAAGACCCUGUCUCCA